AUGUGACAUACACUUAUAUUAUAUCAAUUUAUAUUUCAUUAAAAAAAAUUUCCCUCUUUUUGGGCUAUUAUUUGCUUGGUACUAUGUUUAAUAGAGGGAGGGGCUGAAUUUAAUGAUAGUCAUAAGUCUCAUGAGAGGAGCAAUAAUAAGAUACCACUAGUUUAGAUGGUUGGAUAUAGCACUGUUAGUAUUUCAAAUUAGUUCAUGAUUAUUUCAAUUUGUACUAUUUUGUUCUCUAAGUUCAUGAUUACUUCAUUCUUUUACCGUGCCUCAAUUCUUAAUCCACUAAGUUAUACAUAAUAUUUUGGAGAUACCCUGCUCUGUUUGAGUUGGGCAAGAUCACCACCAUAUACUUAUAUGGGAGAUUUGGAUAGAUAUCUUUUAAAAGUUUGUCCUCUCCUUAUAGAUGCAUUUUUAUUCUUUAUUGUUUGUGUUUCAAGUUAUUGAUAUAGCUUACAUAAUCUUUUUAAUUGAUGCUUCAAUGGCAUGAAACAUGUAUCAUGAUAUAAUAGUCUUAGUUACUUUUCAUUUCUUUAUAGUAUGCCUGACUUGCUUAUACUUUAUCAGAAUGAGGUAAACUUGACAAGGAACUUGGAGUUUAAGAGUUUCAUCAGUUUGUUGGAACCCAAUUAAUUCUGCCCUUAAGUUUGACUAUAAUCUUUGAUGAAAGUGCAGCUUUUUGGUUAAUAUUGUGUUCUGCUAUGGAUAUUUGUGUUAGUUUCUUAAUCUACAUCUGCUAUUGUGCUUUUAGAUAUUCUCUCUUGUCAAAAUUGGGUUGUCCCAGAGUUAAUGAAAAAUGAGUAAUUGCUUACAAUUAGCCUUUCUAGAUUGUCUUACAAUUCCUGUGCUUUUGGUUGCAGGUAUAUGUGGAAAAGGUUCACAAGGCCUAGUGAAUGCAGUUUAGAAAAUUUAGCCACCUAAUUUGUGGAUUCUAUUUUAGGAAUUGUUAUUUAUUGUCUUAGAUGAGUAUUAUGAUUCCUUACACCCAGAUUUUUGUUUUAGGAUGAGGACAUUUUCCUUUGGGAUGAGGACCUUGGAGUUUAAGAGUUCCACCCAGAUAAGAAUGUUGAAAACCAUUUCUGAUUUCUGAAAAUUAGAAAAAAUAUAGUUUGAUGCUCUUAGAUUGUUUAAUUAAAAACAAAUUUGGUGGAGAUUACUUCUGUUUUAUUUAUUUUUAAAUGGGCACUCCUAUAAUGUUACAAAAUCUUAAUGAUUCUCAAAUGAUUUUUAAGUUAUAUAUCUAUCAUUAAAAGUGAAGGGCUGGAGAUUUCACAACCAGCACUUGAUCCUCAACUUUCUGAAAGGUCUUGCUGUGGAGAUUUCACAACCAGCUUUGGAGAUUUUUCAGUUACUCACUGCGCUUAGAACUGGGCUUCGACUUCCUGGGUAUCCAAAUUGAAAGGUCUUGCUGAGAGAAAAAAGCUAGAGGACUUGACAAUUGGUCCAGUUCUCACUAAUGACAUACAAAAUUGGAGGUUGUGAUUUGAGCAGCACUGCUCCUCCUUGUACCAGGUGGAUUGAAAUGAUGGCUCCUGUUUUCUCAAGAGCUGCAUGGCAUUGCGUUUGGUAUAUGAUCCAGGUAGAUUGAAAUGAUGGCUCCUGGAUUAGUAAUAUGUAAUUCAAGGAUGGUAGCUUGCUUAGAAUCUUCGUUAGCUUGGGUACUAGUAGUGUUUUUUUGUUUCAGUAAAAACUAGUGGUCUCUUUUGUAACUUCCUAUUGAUUCUAAAAUUUUUUCUCUUAUGUAAUAAUAUGUAAAGGAAGUAGAUAAUGUAAUAGUUGUUGUAAUGAUUUUGAUUUUGGUAUUUUGUUAGAGCAUGUCAUGUAA